rnacentral:rRNA from 1 species
UACGAGGGGGGCUAGCGUUGUUCGGAAUUACUGGGCGUAAAGCGCGUGUAGGCGGGUCUUUAAGUCAGGGGUGAAAUGCCAAGGCUCAACCUUGGAACUGCCUUUGAUACUGGAGAUCUUGAGUCCGGGAGAGGUGAGUGGAAUUGCGAGUGUAGAGGUGAAAUCGUAGAUAUUCGCAAGAACACCAGUGGCGAAGGCGGCUCACUGGCCCGGAACUGACGCUGAGACGCGAAAGCGUGGGAGCAAACAGG